rnacentral:rRNA from 1 species
GACGAACGCUGGCGGCGUGCCUAAUACAUGCAAGUCGAGCGGACUUUCAAGAAGCUUGCUUUUUGAAAGUUAGCGGCGGACGGGUGAGUAACACGUGGGCAACCUGCCUGUAAGACGGGGAUAACUCCGGGAAACCGGGGCUAAUACCGGAUAAUAUCUUUCUUCGCAUGAAGGAAGGUUGAAAGGCGGCGCAAGCUGCCGCUUGCAGAUGGGCCCGCGGCGCAUUAGCUAGUUGGUGAGGUAACGGCUCACCAAGGCGACGAGGCAUAGCCGACCUGAGAGGGUGAUCGGCCACACUGGGACUGAGACACGGCCCAGACUCCUACGGGAGGCAGCAGUAGGGAAUCUUCCGCAAUGGACGAAAGUCUGACGGAGUAACGCCGCGUGAGCGAAGAAGGUCUUCGGAUCGUAAAGCUCUGUUGUCAGGGAAGAACAAGUACCGUUCGAAUAGGGCGGUACCUUGACGGUACCUGACCAGAAAGCCACGGCUAACUACGUGCCAGCAGCCGCAGUAA